AGAGUUUGAUCCUGGCUCAGAACGAACGCUGGCGGCAGGCCUAACACAUGCAAGUCGAGCGAACUCUUCGGAGUUAGCGGCGGACGGGUGAGUAACGCGUGGGAAUAUGCCCUUUGGUACGGAAUAGCCUUUGGAAACGGAGAGUAAUACCGUAUGUGCCCUUCGGGGGAAAGAUUUAUCGCCAAAGGAUUAGCCCGCGUUGGAUUAGGUAGUUGGUGGGGUAACGGCCCACCAAGCCGACGAUCCGUAGCUGGUCUGAGAGGACGAUCAGCCACACUGGGACUGAGACACGGCCCAGACUCCUACGGGAGGCAGCAGUGGGGAAUAUUGGACAAUGGGGGCAACCCUGAUCCAGCAAUGCCGCGUGUGUGAAGAAGGCCUGCGGGUUGUAAAGCACUUUCAGUAGAGAAGAAAAGCCUACGGUUAAUACCCGUGAGUCUUGACGUUACCUACAGAAGAAGCUCCGGCUAACUCCGUGCCAGCAGCCGCGGUAAUACGGAGGGAGCGAGCGUUAAUCGGAAUUUACUGGGCGUAAAGCGCGCGUAGGCGGCUUUGUAAGUCGGAUGUGAAACCCCUGGGCUCACCCUGGGAAUGGCCUUCGAUACUGCUGAGCUAGAGUUUGGUACAGGGAAGUGGAAUUUUCCCGUGUAUCCGCGAAAAGCCUUUGUAUUUCGGUAAGGAACACCAUGGGCCUAAGGC
rnacentral:rRNA from 1 species